rnacentral:rRNA from 1 species
AUGAACGCUAGCUACAGGCUUAACACAUGCAAGUCGAGGGGCAGCAUGGUCUUAGCUUGCUAAGGCUGAUGGCGACCGGCGCACGGGUGAGUAACACGUAUCCAACCUGCCGUCUACUCUUGGCCAGCCUUCUGAAAGGAAGAUUAAUCCAGGAUGGCAUCAUGAGUUCACAUGUCCGCAUGAUUAAAGGUAUUUUCCGGUAGACGAUGGGGAUGCGUUCCAUUAGAUAGUAGGCGGGGUAACGGCCCACCUAGUCAACGAUGGAUAGGGGUUCUGAGAGGAAGGUCCCCCACAUUGGAACUGAGACACGGUCCAAACUCCUACGGGAGGCAGCAGUGAGGAAUAUUGGUCAAUGGGCGAUGGCCUGAACCAGCCAAGUAGCGUGAAGGAUGACUGCCCUAUGGGUUGUAAACUUCUUUUAUAAAGGAAUAAAGUCGGGUAUGCAUACCCGUUUGCAUGUACUUUAUGAAUAAGGAUCGGCUAACUCCGUGCCAGCAGCCGCGGUAAUACGGAGGAUCCGAGCGUUAUCCGGAUUUAUUGGGUUUAAAGGGAGCGUAGAUGGAUGUUUAAGUCAGUUGUGAAAGUUUGCGGCUCAACCGUAAAAUUGCAGUUGAUACUGGAUGUCUUGAGUGCAGUUGAGGCAGGCGGAAUUCGUGGUGUAGCGGUGAAAUGCUUAGAUAUCACGAAGAACUCCGAUUGCGAAGGCAGCCUGCUAAGCUGCAACUGACAUUGAGGCUCGAAAGUGUGGGUAUCAAACAGGAUUAGAUACCCUGGUAGUCCACACGGUAAACGAUGAAUACUCGCUGUUUGCGAUAUACGGCAAGCGGCCAAGCGAAAGCGUUAAGUAUUCCACCUGGGGAGUACGCCGGCAACGGUGAAACUCAAAGGAAUUGACGGGGGCCCGCACAAGCGGUGGAGUAUGUGGUUUAAUUCGAAGCAACGCGAAGAACCUUACCAGGCCUUGACAUCCCUUGCAGAGGUAUAGAGAUAUAUCCGAGGUUAUCAAGGAGACAGGUGGUGCAUGGUUGUCGUCAGCUCGUGUCGUGAGAUGUUGGGUUAAGUCCCGCAACGAGCGCAACCCUUGUGAUAUGUUACUAACAUUGAGUUGAGGACUCAUAUCAGACUGCCGGUGAUAAACCGGAGGAAGGUGGGGAUGACGUCAAAUCAGCACGGCCCUUACGUCCGGGGCUACACACGUGUUACAAUGGGGGGUACAGAGGGCCGCUACCACGCGAGUGGAUGCCAAUCCCUAAAACCCCUCUCAGUUCGGACUGGAGUCUGCAACCCGACUCCACGAAGCUGGAUUCGCUAGUAAUCGCGCAUCAGCCACGGCGCGGUGAAUACGUUCCCGGGCCUUGUACACACCGCCCGUCAAGCCAUGGGAGCCGGGGGUACCUGAAGUGCGUAACCGCGAGGAUCGUCCUAGGGUAAAACUGGUGACUGGGGCU